rnacentral:miRNA from 1 species
ACUCUAGAGGGAAGCGCUUUCU